ensembl:lncRNA novel transcript
AACAGAGCAAGACUCUGUCUCAAAAAAAAAAGAAAAAUCAGAAGGAGAGUCUGAGGAAAGACACAUAGCACCUUCCCUGGUAAUGAGUUCUGUGAAAUUCUGUGCUUUUAAAGCUCACUGUCACAUCUUUCAUUUAUGAAAUCUCUGUAAGAAUCCAGGAUCCAAGUCAUUUGUUUUAGAAAUUCAUUAAUUGGCCUUUCAGAGCCAAGACAACAAGUAUGGCCAAAGAAUCAUUUCUGAUGAGAUCAGUAAUAGCAAAUCUGAAGCAAUCUCAUUUUAGAAAAUAUCUAAAUGGGUCUCACUCAUCAAUGUGUUUCAGAUUCUUUCACGGCUUCAAAUAUAAUGGACAGAGCUGGGUUUCUUUGAGAUAGCAUUUCAGUGAAACACUUUUUAAUUCAUUUUACACAGCUCUUAUUAGAUUUGUAAGAGGAUACACACUGAAUAAGCACUCCAUGGUCACUUGAGAGGAGAGUAGUUACGUGACUCAUUUAACAGGCAAUUACCUGUUUAAAAAGAGACAAAUAUCCUGUGUCUGACAGAGGCUAUGACUGCAUGACAUGAACCAAAUGUUUGAGACUAUUGAAAAAUCCUACAAUGAAGGGGAUUCUGGGCUCCUAUACAGAAUUCACUGACCUUCAACUAGUAAAAAAUAGAUGCUUGAUGGAACUGUUACGAAUCUCGCCAUCUUAAUCAUGGUAAUGGUUACACAGAGCUACACGUGUGAUAAAAACGCAUAAAAAUACACACACACAUACGAGAAUGCACAUAAAACUAGUAAAAUCUGAAUAAGGUUGGUGAAUUGUGUCAAUGUCAGUGUUCUGGUUGUGAUAUUAUACUGCAAUGUUAAAAGAGUUUACCAUUAGGGGAAAGUGGGUGAGGAGUAUACAGUCUCUCUAUAUAUUAUAUCUUACACUGCAUGUGAAUCUACAAUUAUCUCAAGAUAAAAAUUCACAAAACCUAGCAGUUUUUGACUGCAUCUAUUGAUGCGGUAUCACCCACUCUACCAGAUGGCUUACUGUCAUCAUCCCACUUAUAUGUACUGUGAGAUAAGGGUGUGGCUCUUACUUCUGGGCAGGUGGGCUUCACAUGGAAGAGCAGCUUCUAAAAGACUCGUGUGUUUCAGAAUAGUAUUGCUGAUGCUGGAAUUUAGGUUAAGAUGUAAUUCUUUUUUCUCCCUAUUCUCAUGCAUGCUUUGGAAUUUGACAUCAAGAGAGUUGGCAUGGCACCCUGCCUUUGUUUCCUAUACUAUAUAUGCUGAUGGUUUUGUUUAGCUCUGGAUCAGUUUGAUAGAGAUAUUAGAGAUGGUCACCUGACAGACAGGUUAUUGGAUUCUUCUGAGAGUAUAUUUGUGAAUUGCAUUAAUGGUUUCUUUCUGUGCCCUUUGCCAUGUAACUUUGUAGACAUCCAUCUACAAAUAGGGCUUUGUUUCUACCCCUUGACUCUGGGCUUGGCCUCGUGCUUGUUUGGGGUAAUGUUAGCAGACAUGAGCAAGCAGAGACUUGAAAAUCAUUUGUGCGGUUGAGCUUUCCCUUUUGGACUUAGAACAUCGCCAGGACAAGAAUGUGCCUGGAGUAGCCUAUCCUUUAGCAGGAGGACGAUGAAAGAAAGGUGGAGCAGAGCUGCCCAAUUAAACUGCACCAGCAAAAGUUCAGCCUGAAGCAGAGUCCCUGGUUGACCCACAGACUUAUAAUAAGCCCAGUCCAAAGUAGCUGCCCCACGGACACAUGAAUUCUAAUUGUUGAUUGUUGUUUGAAACCAUAGGGUUUUGAGGUGAUUUUAUAUGCAGGAGUAGUUGGUAAUCAUUAUAAUUGUGAAGGAUGGCCUUUUGGAUUUCAGAUAGGCGACGGGGAUCUGAAAGAUCGAAAUAGAAGGGCAGUGUGUGUGGUGGGGGACAUCUGUUAAUUCUCCACACUUGUAGGAACUAGAAUACCAAACGGCAACCGAGUUACAGAAAAUGGACAGCUACCCAUUAUUACAGUGUAGGAGAUAAGGUCUCCUUAGGUCAUGAAGUUAAACUGAUGCUCAGAUACCUGAGCUUUUUAAUUAAGUUCAUUUGAACAAAGACCAAGUGGGGUUGAACCAGCAACAACGAAUUAAGUGGCCUAAACUAUUAGGUCUAUGGAGAAAGAAAUCAAGCAGUAUGUUGAGGUUAGAUCUAGAUCAGGAGGUAGAAUUUUUUUUGUGAAGGUCCAGAUAGCAAAUAUUUUACACUUUGUGGGCUCUACACUCUCUAUCACAACUUUUCAACAUUCAACAUUGCUAACAUGCAAAUAAAUGUGAUUGACUACAUUCAAUAAAAUUUUAUUUACAAAAACAUAGAGUGUCUGGAAUUGGCCCACAGGUUAUAGUUUGCUCACUUCUCAUCUAGAUUCUUGUAAUAAUAUUGUAUUAUUGAAUAAAACAUUUAAAACUAAAUAUUUGUGAGAAAUUUAAGGUAAAAAUGGUAAAUAUGUGGCAUGUAUACUCAAAGUUCUCCCUUUGAGCCAACAAUAGACAUCACAGUCUUUCCUGGAAUUAUUUCUCCCAGAUUGGAAAUGUCCUCUGAAUUCUUCAUGUCUCAGCAAUCCAGACAGUCUUUACCAAUUUGUCAUAGCUUGUAAGCUACAUAAAGGAAAAUAAUAAUAACCACAACUCAAAGGCUUCUCUUUUAUCAGCCAUAGAAAAAUGUUACAACUUUACAAAGUGACUGUGAAUUUAAGUUAAACCCUCUGACAACAAAUUGGAGGUAAGUGUAAUAGAAUAAUAAUAAAAACAUUGAAAUUAUAAGAAUUUCUUAAUGUUAUUUUAUGUCAAAGCAUUUGCUUUUGAUGUAUACAUAUUUGCUUUUGAUAUAUACAUAUUUGCUUUUGAAGCUGUGAAACUUGGAUUGAAGAUACAGUAGGGAACAUGAAGACCCAUACUAGGGAUCAUCUGGUUAAGGUGGAGAGUAGAGUUGUAAAAAAGUAGGGACAUUGGAGGUGGAGUGAGGAAAGAGUUGUUUGUAAAAUUAGAUAGGUUCCUUGGUGUGAUGCUCCAUGAAUGUAGCUACACCAUGUGUCUGUGGACAGUGAGAUAUGAUGAUGAGACAGAUUGGAUAAGAAUUUUGGUAACUAAUUCCCUAAACUCAGUGGAGGUGAAUGUAGUCUUUGCCACAGAGCUGUGAUGGCUGCAGAUGGAAGAAGGUUUGAAGAAAAACAGUGAACACUGCAAGCUAUUUUGAGGAAAUCUGUCAAAAUUGAAAAGUAUUUUCUCCUCAGUGGUCCAACAUAAGUCCAAUAUGGAUUAUUGAUCAUGGUUUUGGUAAUUUCACUUGAACUGAGCCUAAAUAAUCAGGCACGUGCUGUGCUGAGUACUGCCAAGGUUGUUUAAUUGCAAAAUCAAUUCCAAGGCACUGUACCUCCUAGCCAAAGCCUCUUUGCUAAUCAGGCCUGAAUGCAUUGGAUGGGGGUAGCCAAUAAGAUGCAACACUGGCCUUCUGUUAUAACAAUGGGAUUUCCUUUUUACAGUUCUUUAUGGGGCCCUCAUCCCUUGGUAAUGGCUUGUGAACAGUUUGAACUCCUCAGGCAAUUCUUGAAUAAUCUUUUCCCCCACACAGCCAUAAAGAAGGCCAGCCUGGAAACUUGUAUCACAUGAUUUGAUCAGUCUGCUGAGAGGGCUGGAGAGUUCUCUUGAUAUGACACUUGUGAAGUGGUAAUAAAGCUGGGUCGGAUCCACAGUGGCAGGUGGCUCAGGCAUCAGCAAUGCAGUCAUUUAAUGAGAUAAACUUGAAAACACCAAGCAAAAGUUUGGAGGACUGAAUGUUUAGUGAGAGAGUUCAAUGAGUAGAGUUAUUCUUUGGAGAGGGUCCCCCCAAAGCCUUGGAAGAAGUAAAAAUUGUAGGGCUAUGACUUUGGAGUGAGCCCAUAAAACUUUCUAAUUCUUGCCAAAACAGAAAGGAUUUUAAAAUGUCAAGUUGGAUGUGAUUCCUCUUGAAGCAGGACUUACAGUUGCCCUGGAGUCACAGGGGGUUGGGCUGAGGACAACUUUGACUUAAUUUGCAUUUUCCCAGCCUUAGUCCGUUUUCACACUGCUGUAAAGAUACCACCUGAGAUUGGGUAAUUUACAAAAACAGAAGACAUUUAAUUUACUCACAGUUCUGCAUGGCUAGAGAGGCCUCAGGAAACCUACAAUCAUGGCAGAAGGUGAAGGGGAAGAAAGGCAUGUCUUACCUGGUGGCACAAGAGAGAGAGAUGUGGGCAAAACUGCCAUUUUUAAACCAUCAGAUCUCAUGAGAACUCCCUCAGUAUCACGAGAACAGCAUGGUGGAAACCACCCUAAUCGCCUCUCUCCCACCAGGUUCCUCCCUCGACACAUGGGGAUUACAAUUUGAGAUGAGACUUGAGUGGGAACACAGACUCAAACCAUGUCACCAACCUAUGCCCUACUGAAAGACGGGUAUUCUGAGAUCAAGUGACACUAAUCAUCCUGAGCUGAGAUUUCCCAGUAUUCCUCUCUACCUCCACUCUUCCUUUGACACCUCUCUGACCACUCCUCAACCGCCAACCCCCAUGCACAUCUUCGAUCAUGAGAAAAAAAAAGAAGACGGGACCUCUCCUCUUUAUCUUGUUUUUGUGUUCCAGACUCAGAGUCUCUUGUCCAAAAUGGUUGGUCAGACAACUUAUGAGUGAAGCUGAAUCUAACAGUGUCAAGUGUCUAUAAAUUGUUACGCUCUCAGCAGAUCACAAGGUCAAGAGAUCGAGACCAACCUCACCAACAUGGUGAAACUCUGUCUCUACUAAAAAUACAAAAAUUAGCUGAGCAUGUUGAUGUGUACCUGUAGUCCCAGCUACUCAGGAGGCUGAAGCAGGAGAAUCUCUUGAACCCAGGAGGCAGAUGUUGCAGUGAGCUGAGAUCACACCACUGUGCUCCAGCCUGGGCGACAGAGUGAGACUCCGUCUCAAAAAAAAAAAAUUGUUACGCUCUCUUGUCCACUAAAUCUCAGGUAGAAAAUAUCUGUCAAAAGUAUAGAUACCCUCAGUAUGUCAAAACAUGAAGUUUCUAGACACAAACUCCAUUGACCCAAUUCCUAAAAUUCUUCCAAAAUUCUUCUCUUCACUCUGAAUCCCCUGAGGGGGAUAAAGAUGAGAGGGGUGUUCAAGACUAUGGGGCCAAGAGGUAGGGAAGGGAUAAAAAAUGUUGUAAGACCUUGAAUGUGUGAGGCUUCUGAAGGAGUCUUUGCAAGACAAGAGUUGGUUUUUAUUUGCCAUAAAGGAUUUCAGUAAUGCUGCUCCUCAUGUGACUCAUGCACUUGUAGACUGGCCAGCUAACAACACAUUUGUUUACAGAAAAGUGAUGAAAUAUGGAAAGUAUCACUGCUAAUUGUAUUUCUAUUGUACCCCUUUCAUUUUCUUUCCGGACUAGAAGCUCUGGAGCUUUCUUCAUUCUUUUAUUAAGAACAAAAUGACCAGCAGGAGAACAAUGUGAAAUUCACUGAGACCUGAAUGAAAUGCAAGAAAAUAUUAUUAUGAAAUGGUCUACCUAAUUAAUAAUGUUGGUAAAUUGAACUUCAGUGUCUGGUUGACAGCUGACUUAAUAUAACCUAAAUAGGAAGACAAUAAAACUCAUCUAGGGAAACUCAUUUUAAAGUUUAUUAAUGUUGUUUUCCUCAGUCUGUACGCCUGCUGGCAAAUCAUUUUAUUUUCAGUGAUAGAGUCCUGCAGAACCCCAUUAUAGGCUGUAUGACCUACAUUAUGGUCCUUCUGUGUUAGAGUGGGAGUGACAGACAGUCCAUCCCCAUCUGGAAAUAUCAUUUAAUGCAUGCUAUGACUGAUUAGAUGGAACAACCUCUUUCUACAUAAUGAAGUUUACUACAGAGAAAUUUACAGGAAAAAUAUUCAGUAAACACUAAAAUACCAAAUAUUUGCAUCUCUAUCAAUGAUCAUCUGGUCUCUCUCCCUAAAAUCCUAUAACUGUACAUUUUAACAUAGCUGUAAACACAGUGUGUGCACGCGGUUUUGUGUUUUUACUUUCUUCACCUAACAUAUCGCAUGCAUAUUUCCAUAAUGGAAUACACAAUACAGUUUUAAAGCCCACAGACGGUUUAACAUAUUGAUGUAUUUAGUGAAUAUUUUAAUACCACUUUUCUGUGCUGAAGCUAAUAUCCUAACAUCUGCCAAUUGGAAGUAAUUUUUAACUGAAUUAAACAUGUAUGUACUUGUUUCCCAGGACACACAAGCCUAAAAGAUGAACGAUACGGUGUUUAUACUUCUCCCUAGGAAGAGCCAUAGGCCUUGGGCCCCAUCAAGGGUCUCUCCUGGAGUUUCAGUCAAGAAGUCAGCUUGACUGGCUCUGGAAUAUUGGCUUCCACACUGGCUCCUUGCAUGGCUGGCAGGCUGAUGCUGGCUACUGAUGGCAGGCCUCAGUUUCUCUCUACACAACCCAUGGCUGCUUGGAUGUCUUCCCAUGCAACUGGCUUCCUCCAGAGCAGGUGUGAUGAAAGAGCACCUGGUUCCCUUAGAAUCACAGAAGUAAAGAAGUAGUUGGGAUUCAUCAGAGCAUGCUGUGCCAGCUUCUCAGAUGAGUGUAUCCUUGAAUACCCAGUAUCCAGAGCUUCUCUCUGCAUCCCUUUGACUUUUACCAGUAAGGCUCUUUUCCCUUUACUCAGAAUGAGCAUGCCAACCUUUUUCCAUUUUUUUUCCAAGUCUUGCUAGUAACCUUUUGUGGAACCCACCAGCUAACUCUUCUGAGAAGAGAGAAACUAGAGCUGUCUAUUGCAACUCUCUCAUCUUUCUACUCUGGUCUACAAAGGCUUCUGCAAUCCUACUCAACAUUUCUUUUCUCGGUACAUUUUCUCAGUGGAAAACAUUUCUGCCUUCAAUCCAAGACUAAAUUCUCUGCCUGUGUCCCUGGGCUUCUGUGAUGAGUAUUCUCUCUCCCUAGAACUCCCUUUUCUCACUGCCCUUGUAAUGGAACUCAGCUCCAGUCUUGCCUCCUCUAAGUAGGGUGUCUUCUCUUUUUCUGGGCACCAUUACACACUCAGGAACCUCAAAGGAAUGCAAACCCAUGGCAGCGAUUUCAUCUCCCCUAGCAUGUUAGGUUGGUGUCCUCAUUAGAACUAUUAUGCCCUCAAAUGAGGAAGCUUAUCUUAUUUGACAGAUGGAUAUUUGUCUGAAAUUUUCCAUAUUUGUUUUAAUACUUAUUAAAAGUGUGAUAAAUCUUUAUUGAGGAAAGUUCAGAAAACAGAAACCUAUAAGAACAUACAAAUAAUUACUGAUGUCCCACUUCAGAAAUGGUUACUCUUCAGUUGUGUAAAUUUCCCUCUAGUCAUUUUCUUUACCAAAUUUAUAGAAAUAACAUUCCAUUUUACAUUUGUAAAAUGUUUAUAAUUUAUAUCUUUCUUUCCGGCUCAACAUUAUAUUAUAAGCAGUAGUUCACAGCAUUAAAAGGCCUUCAAAUAUAUAAUAUUUAUUCCUAUAACUUAUUUAACCUUUCCAGAAAUGUUUUUUGUUGCUGUUGCAAAUUUCUACAUAUAUAUAAAGUUAUGGUAAAAAAAUUUUUAU